rnacentral:lncRNA from 1 species
GACAAACGAGUAUGUAUAUAUACCUUUUCGACAUACACUACUGAUGAAAUGUGUACGUGGUAAUAUUGAGUACAAAUAUGCAAGGAAUGUAUCUGUAUAAUACUAUUGACUAUCUAACAAAAGAAAAAUAUAAUAUUUUAUUAGAACUCUAAUCUAAAAGUAUCGAGUGAUACUGCUACGAAUAAUUAUGUGGAGUAAAUCAUGCUCUGUCAUCCUGUCUGGCAUCCUCUCGAAGCAUCAACACCUUGAAAGAUUUAUCUGUCUCUGGGAAGUAAUGUUACAUUCACGAAUCUAGGUAUCAGGUGAUACUCUAAUCCAAAAACCGUAUAUUUGCCAAGUGAUCUUCCCCGGAUAGAUCUAUAGCCUAGAAGGGAAUAGAUAAAAUCAUAUCCAUGAGUUCUGACGCAAGGGAAAAAAAACAAUAUAACAAACCGGUAACAUGCAUAUUUGUCGACGACAAGUAUAUAUGAGAAGCAAAGCUGCUUGUCGCCACCAGAACUUCAGAAGGGACAGAAACGCCUCAAUGUCGUGCGAUAGCAGCUAGAUCAAUGGAAUCAACUGCCCCGGAUCUACAAGCUGCAAAGGGAUUUGAUUGGAAUAAAUAAAUCGAUAAUAGACAGAUUAAGACUCUCAACCAAACCUGGAUCCGUGUUCACGAUUUUCCUGGUCGCCGUCGCUAGGGGAUGUCGUAGUCGGCUCGUUGCUGGGUGGGCCGCUCGAUCGUGGGGGGCUGUCACCAUUGGGCGGGCUACGCCGGCGUCGUCCGUGCUGGUCGAACCACGCCAUCUCCGCCUAAGACGCCGAUACAAGCAGGGGAAGCACCCUUCAUCCGGCCGGUACUGCUGCUCGCCCUCUCCCAUGAACCUCGCUAGCGAUGGCAAGUUGAGAGGUUGAGGGGAUGGAGGAGGGAGACGACGCCAGGAGCGACCUUGGCGGUGGUGAAGCAAGAAAGCAGGAGGACGACGGUGACGAAAUCCACUAAUUUCGGAUCUCCC